GGACAAUUAAGGGAGGCAGCAGGCGCGCAAUUACCCAAUCCUGACUCAGGGAGGUAGUGACAAGAAAUAACAAUAAACCGGCUUAUGCCGGUUUAAUUGGAAUGAGUACAAUUUAAACAUCUUAACGAGGAACAAUUGGAGGGCAAGUCUGGUGCCAGCAGCCGCGGUAAUUCCAGCUCCAAUAGCGUAUACUAAAGUUGUUGCAGUUAAAAAGCUCGUAGUUGGAUUUCUGUGGGGACGGAGCGGCCGGCCGCAACAUGCGGUUCGAGCUAGCGCUUUCCCUACAUCCUGCCGCGAACCGUGCUACCAUUAAUUUGGUGGCGCCGGGGAUCGGCUCGAUUACUUUGAGAAAAAUAGAGUGUUCAAAGCAGGCCACAUGCCUUGAAUAAGUUAGCAUGGAAUAAUAACUAAGGACUUCGGUUCUAUUUUGUUGGUGUUCGGGACUGAAGUAAUGAUUGAUAGGGACAGUUGGGGCGGUCUGUAUUCCAAAGCGAGAGGUGAAAUUCUUAGACCUUCGGAAGACAAACAGCUGCGAAAGCGUUCCGCAAGGAUGUUCCCUUUGAUCAAGAACGAAAGUUGGGGGAUCGAAGACGAUCAGAUACCGUCGUAGUCUCAACUAUAAACUAUACCAGCUAGGGAUCGGCCAACGUUAUUUUAUACCGACUUGGUCGGCACCUUAUGAGAAAUCAAAGCAUCUGGGUUCCGGGGGGAGUAUGGUCGCAAGGCUGAAACUUAAAGGAAUUGACGGAAGGGCACCACCAGCCGUGGAGCCUGUGGCUUAAUUUGACUCAACACGGGAAAACUUACCAGGUCCAGACAUAGUAAGGAUUGACAGAUUGAUAGCUCUUUCUUGAUUCUGUGGGUGGUGGUGCAUGGCCGUUCUUAGUUGGUGGAGUGAUUUGUCUGGUUAAUUCCGUUAACGAACGAGACCCCAGCCUGCUAAAUAGCGCGCGUGAGCUUUGCUCGCGGCGAGCUUCUUAGAGGGACUAUGAUGCGUGAUAGCACAUGGAAGUUUGGGGCAAUAACAGGUCUGUGAUGCCCUUAGAUGUUCUGGGCCGCACACGGGCUACACUGGCGCCUGCAACGAGCAUAUCAGCUGGUCCGAGAGGAUCUUGGCUAAUCUUUUGAACCGGCGCCGUGCUUGGGAUUGACCUUUGCAAUUGUUGGUCAUGCAACGAGGAAUGCCUUGUAAACGCGAGUCAUCAGCUCGCAUUGAAUACGUCCCUGCCCUUUGUACACACCGCCCGUCGCUCCUACCGAUGAAUGUUCCGAUGAAAUUUUCGGAGAGUGCCUGUGAACUUGGCUCUGCCUUGCGAACGGGAAGCUCAAAGUCACUAAAAUCUGAACUUUAAAG
rnacentral:rRNA from 1 species